AUGCUAAUGCCUCCCAUCAAAAGCUGCGGUAGAAUCAUCAGUUGUUUGAAUUUCAGUUUCGUGAGUCUGAUGGUUGGUUGAAUCGAAAUAAUUACACCACCACCGCCGCCGCCACUUGAGUUACCACACCAUUGCUUUAGAGAUCUAGGGUUUCAUAUUAGAUGUGAAAAAGGAAAAAGUGAUUAACAGCGAUGAUAUUUAUGGGUUAAACGACGAUGAAGACCUUAGAUUUAGGGUUUUGCAAGUUUACCUCUACUUCAAUAUCGCUCGUUGGAAAUCCAGAACUGAAUCAAUCAACUCAGCACCAUAGAUUGGUUGUCACAAAAGAUGAGAUAAAACCCAAAACAAUGCUUCAAGCAUAAAAAAAACUCGAUCAACACUAAGAUUAGAUGAAACCGAACGAAUCAUGGAUGAAUGAUAGAAGAAUCAUAAGAAAUUGAACGAAAUCAUCGAUGAAAGAUACAAGAAAUCAUAGGAAAAAAGAAUAGAUUCAUUGACUUACCAGAUGCUAAUGAAAUCGAAAGAGAUGGUGGUAGAUUUGCUUGUCGGCGAUGAACAAAAUUAGGGUUUUGUACGCUUGAAUGAAAGCGUGAAUGAGAAGAAUGAUGUGUUUGAGAGAUCUAGUCUAAUUAGAUAGUUUUUAUAC
rnacentral:lncRNA from 1 species